rfam:Populus trichocarpa isolate Nisqually-1 chromosome 4, whole genome shotgun sequence.
UUUGGACUUCUCGAGAUAUGGGCUGAACACUGAACAGUGUCUGGGCUGUAGGACAUAUUCAGACUUCUCUUUUGAUGCUAAGAUUUGGACUUCCAAACAACAGAAUUGAGUCCUGGACUCUUCCUGAAUGUUUUAGGCCUAUGUCUUAGCUUUCUAGC